GAAGAGUACAACUCGUCUGCGUGUUAAGGGCUUUUGAAUGCCAAGGGCACAGAUUACCCGGCGAGAGAAACACGAAGCGAAACGAACUGACAGCCUUCUGUUGCGUGCUUAAGGUAUUCCAGCAAGAUUUUUCCUUCUUCCUGUUCUUAAGAAUCAUGAGGACUAGAGUGGUCAGGCCCUCCUCGUGUGAGUCUUACAAACUUACUGAGGUCAGCAUUUCCUUCCAUGAUUCAACUCUGACCCUAACCUCAGUGGGAGCUGCAUUUUGAAACCAUAACAGACUAAAGGACAAAAUGGCAAGCGUGUGUUGCUGUAGCUUUCAUCAUCUCCCUGGAGAAGCGCGAACUAACUACAGCGCCUGCUUGUCAUUAUCCCAGGCAGUGGAGGAGGCCCCCGCUGCUUUGACAAAUGUGAUUUAAUUGGACGGAAGGGACUGGGGCACUUGUCAGGACAGAAGGGAAAAUGAACGGAGCAAAGUCCGGAAAAGUCCUUGAAGAAAACCUGCUUCUCUCUACAAGAAAGAUGAAACUGGGACAGAAGUUCAACGUUCAGCAUGACAAUGACCCGCAGCCAGAGCUACUCAGAAGUGGCUAAAGAACAGAAAGGCAAAUGUCCGCGAGUAGCUCAGUCAGAGCAUCAACCAAAAGUCUGUUGCAUGACUUGAAGACCAUUGUCCAUCAAUGAUCCCUAAGGAACAUGAACAGUUAUGUAAAGAACAGUGGUCAAAUAUUGUUAAAUACAGAAAUGCAACUCUAGCAGAGACACUACCCAACAGACUAACAGCUGUAAUUUCUGCCAAUGGUCUUUUCACCAUAGCAUUUAACUCCGACUCAUCCACUUAUGACAUUUCAGUUUUGUAUUUUUAAUAU